AGAAAAAUUUCCCAAGUAAUGGAAAUUUAAGCUAGAUCCAAUAGGAGAUGGGUCAUUUCAAGUCUUGGAGUGAAUCAACAAAAACACUUAUAAGAUUUACCUCCUAUGUGAGUAUGGAGUGUUGACUACAUUUAAUGUUUAUGAGUGAAGAUUCGAGAAUGAAUCCUUUCGAAGAAAGGGGGAUGAUGUGAACUGGGAUACCUGCAAACAACAUUUCUUGGAAUCCUGUGGGAUCACAAUCCGCACGUACGAGGCAACACGAGAAGGACAUGCCACUGUUACAAUGCACAUAAACAUAGUAGAGGAGCCGUGUCCAGGCAUGCCUACAUGCAGAGAUGUCUAUGUGCACAUGCUGACAGACAUAGGGGACUGCCUGUGCCCA
rnacentral:lncRNA from 1 species